CAGAGCCGGUGCCCCAAGGGAAUAGGGGUGUCCUGCCCCUUUAUAGAUUUUAGGUUUCCUUUCUUCUCACUCCUCCUCCUCCCAUUUCACCUAUUUGGUGACCAAAUGGGCAGGAAGAGAGCCACCCAGGGGGCACUCAUUAACAACUCCUUGCUGGAGGAACACUUCCCUGGAGGCCGUGAUUGUGACCACAGUUCAUUGAUCGUCACAAAAACCCAGGAAAUGCAACUAAGAAGAAAACAAAUGUCCAACUGAGAUCUAAGGACCCAGAGCAACGGAGGAGACGUGGCACUGGACCGCUGGGUGUGCACAGGGACAGGAGGGCUGAUCCCCACGGGGCAGGGCUGCAGCGUGGAGACACAGGAGGGUAUGAGGCAGCGGCCAGGUGGUUAUGUUAACCGCUGCACAAUGACGGCGUUGAGCAGGUUGGCUUCCUUUAGGGUCUGGUUCUCGUCAUCCAGCUCUUUGUUUGGGAAGGUAGUCAUGAGGACAAAGCUGGUGGCAGCCAUGGCUGGCCGGGCGUCCACGAUGAAGAGUCGGAUGUCGCUGAUCCUGGAGGAGUAGGGGUGGGCGGAGGCGGUGAGCAGGACCCUCCCUGGUGCCUACCACCCCGACUCUCAGAGGACGAGUCAUUCAGAGCCCCUUUCCAAGCAGCAGCCAAGCUGUCACUUGGAAGUAUGAGGCCAGUCCUCCCCCUGCUUCCUUCAGAUGAACCCCAACAUCCCCAGUGCGCUGCCACGGACGCCCGCCCUCCCCCUCAUCCUCUUCUCCCUCUUUUGUUAUCAGGCCACACUCCUCUACCACAUUCAGUCUCCCCAGAAGCUCUCUGCUUUCCUGCCGGGAACCCUGACCACACCGCGGGCCUCAGCGGGAUGCCUCUCCCAGGGCAGCCUUGCCUGCUCCUGGUUUCCACCCCACUUCCUGUCACAGCAAUGAUCAAGUUUGUAAAUAAACACUCUGGGAUGCGUUGGAAUCACUGUCCCUUCCUGAGAGGCACUUGAAGCUCUUUCAGCAACUCCUCAGGGCCAGGAAUUCCUUCUCUACCUGCUGCUUGUGUCCUGAACCUGGCUUUGGUAUGAUACUUCCUGUGAAGAAAGAAUCUGGUGACUUAAAAAUCCCAAGGAUGAGGAACAAGACCCACAGGAAGGAGUAAGCUGCCCUUGGCACACUAAUGGAAGAGGAGGACCAAAGGCUUCAGACUCGCAGUGCCCCUCCUCCCUGCCUAGGGAAAGCCUGCUCAUACUCAGAACAGCUCCCUGCUUCCCAGGCUCCAGGUCAUUGCUAGCAAAGCCAGGCCAGGCCAGGCCAGGCCACACGCGGUACCUGUGGCUGUGGUUGAACUUCUGCACCAGCCUCCCGCCAUCAGCAAGCCUGAUCUGGAUGUUUGUGGUCGGCUCUGACUCGUCGAUCAGGAUGGAGGAGCUGGCUUUGGCUUCAUUUUCUGCCUGCUGGGCUGGGGAGCUCGUGUUCAACAACUGGGGGGCCGUGCUGAGGGGAGAGAGGCACAUCAGCACAAGAACAGGGAGGGACUCGUCUCAGCAUGCUGGUGGACAUCAGAUGUGAUCCUGGCCUGUGUUUGGUGCUGCUGAUCUAGAGACCAGACAGGAGGAAUCCCAGCCCUGAGGGACUCGCGGGCCCAGGAGAAUCCACCCUAGCACCAAGUCACUGCUGCCUCCCUCUCUCCUGAGGAGGCUUGGGCCCGUUACUCGUCCUCACCUGCCCAAGGCCUUGAAGGGAGGAAGCCUGAGGCAGAAGAGACAGGCUCAAGACUGGAGGAGCCAACAGCAGCUGAGGGGAACACUCCAUGUCUGUGGCAGAGGCAGCCUUGGCACAGUCUGGCAAGUGACCAGCUGGGAUGAAAUGUUCAGGCCUGCGCCCUCAGUGCGACCUCAUUCAUGUGUGUAUCUCACAUACAUGUGCCCCCAAAGGCCCCAUCUCACCUCCAUCACUGGCACGAAUGCCAGGUCUGUUGGGAUUCAUUAUACAGUGAAUAGGAUAUGGUGUCUGCCAGUGUUGAGAUCAAAUCUUAGAAGUGGGUGGACCAGGGUGUGAAUUCACCCACUAGCUCAGUGACCUUGGGCAAGUUAAUCAAGCUCCCCUAAUUUCAACAAAUGUAACAGGACCUUUUCUUGAUGUGUGGUAGUGGAGAUUGAACCCAGGCAUCACACUUGCUAGGCAAGCAUUCUAUCCUUAGCUACAUCCCUAGCCUUUAAAAAAUUUUAACUUGAGACAGGGUCUAAGUUGCUAAGGUUGGCCUCUAACUCAGUGGUCCUUCUGCCUUCUCUCCUGGGAGCUGGGAUUACAGCAUGUAACACUACACCCAGCAGUUAGCAAGGACUGGUAACCAGGGUUGAGGCUGCCUGUCUUGCUUAGUUGUUGUGAAAAUUAAAGGAGAAUUGCAUGAA